CAGCAAUUACCAUCUGCUGUUGAAUGUCCAUUAUCCUGUAACAUCAUUUGUUGUUUUAUUAUGUAUCCAUAACUAAGAAUAAACCUGAAGAAACCGUAAGUCAGAUUGCGUAUUAGUACUUUUCAUAAUAUAGACAUAUAUUAUUGUGGCGUGCAUUUGGCCCAAGACUAUAUAUACAAAAGAUGUAUAUAUAUAGCAAUCAACUGAAGACAAGAAGAAAUUAAGAAGAUUUAAC